UUCUUGUUUAAGUUAAAUUUAUAGACUGCGAAUUUGUGGUGUUCGAAGUUUCUUUGAAAGCGGGAAA
rnacentral:tRNA from 1 species